UUAAACUAUUGUUAAUUGCGUUACCGUUCUUGGAGCCGUUGUGGAUAAGUGUUCUAAGAUAUAGGAGUCCAUUUGGUACUAGUGGUGAGAACCCAGACGAAGGUGAAACAAGAUUCGCAUAGAAAAGCUAGAAACCAGGCGAAUCCAUUGUGCUUGAGAGAUAAGAGCCCGUAGAAGAGCAGAGAAAGAAGAAGGAAUAAGAUGGUGACGUCUAAAUAUCUUUGUGUUGUGUUUUUGAGAAUAACUUUUUCGUAUAGAGGGAGAGAUGGCAUUAUUGGAUUCGGGAACCGGUAAGAUAAAAGAAAAAUGCAUAUAAGCUGUCUCAAUAUUGUUUAGUGAUAAAAUGAUUUUUAUAGCUGCAAGACUGUCCAUUUGUUGAAUGUGUGGUGAUGAUGGAGACGUAUCCACAGCUGAAAGGAUUGCAGUAUUAGAGCCUCUCAGAGUGAAGGAAUUUGUUUGAUUUCAUGCGAUUUUAUAUAUAUGUGUAUGUAUCAUCGGUUAUUAUAUUUUAUAUAUAUGCGAUUUUCCAGAUGGUAGGUAUAGGGAUCCUGUAUUUUCCUCUCCUGAACAGCCCUUGCACAAAGGGCAAGAUGCAUAGGGCUAGAGCUGGAACAUUGAUUCUUUUGUACUUUGUAGCACAACCUGCAAUACAUGUAAUCCAGGUUCAACAAGAUCAAGCGAUGCGGAUGACUGAAAUGCUCGACGUGCUGUUGACCGUGGUGAUGGUAACUUCAUAUACAAUUGUUUCUGUUAAAGCCUUGACCCUGCAUCAAGAUAAAUCUUUAGUCAUGCGGCAAGUGGAGACAAGUCUUCGUACUAAUUAAAAAGAAAAAUAAUCAACAAUAUCAAUAUAUAAAGUUCAUCUCUAGCUAACAGUUUGGUUUCACUAAUUUAUUGAUCAUUAUACGAUACAAUAAGCAACAUGCAUUUAGCAAUGAAAUAUGUGUAAAGAAUAAAAGGAAGAUUACAAAAUCAAGUUGCACGCCGUGUUCGCCCAUUUCGUAAUUUAGUUUAUAGUCAUUAAAAUUUACUUUUUUCCCAAAUGUUUUGUAAUUGGGGUUAAGUUUAUUAUUAAAAAUUGUAUUACUAGAAAAAUUAUCCCCUAUUGAUUGAGUAUUGAUAUUGUGUUAAGUAUAUAAAACUUAAAUAUCUCUCAAUUCUUAAGUUAGAUUUUGGUUAAAAUUAAGUCGGUAGGUUUUUGUGUUGAAUUAUUUUCAAAAACUUCCCUUGAUUUUUAAAGUAAUUACAGUUAGAUGACAAGUUUACUUAUAUUCUCACUAACCUCCCCUACCGUUAAUAUGAAUACUCAUAUAAUGUUAGUAUACAAGGGUAAAAUUGUAAAGUUGCUAUAUUUCAAACCAUUUCCACGCCACUCCCCUGAUCGAAGUUGCUGUAACCAAAACAAAUCAUCAUAAAUUUCGCAUGACCCAUGCACGAGAGAAACUUAAGUGGUCGGAAAAAUCUGCCGACUAGCAAGCAUCGACGGCGGCAUGGAUCUGCCACUGUUAUUGGAGCUUGAAAAAGGUCAGUGUCCGUUCAAAGUCUCAAAUUCUUUGUUUAGCUUCGAUUUUAUUGUUUUUAGAGAUAGAAAUUUAAGAAAUUUUACCUGAUUUGAGCUGUUGUUAUUAAGCUGGUGGUGGAAAAAUUAAUUAAAAGGAGAAUGGGUUCAAACAUAUUUUUGGUUUGAGUUGAUGAGUAUUGUUAGUUUGUUCUGAGUUAUCGUGUUUUGUGCAUGAAUGAAAUUGGUCAUCAAUAAGCUUUAAUGGGUUUAACUGUUCUACUUUUAUUAUUCUAUAGAGUUGUUUUCUUGAUUUUGGUCAUUCAUGUAAAUCCGGAUAUGAAAGAAGUUUGGAAUGUAUCAUGAUUGUUUAAAUUUUUUGGUUGAUUGGUUGCUCUGGCAUUUUGCUGGGUGGUAAACUUUUGAUUUGGGUGGAGAUGAUUUGUUGUUAGUCUAAGUUGAGUGUUUGCUUGUCUGCCUGAUUUAUGUGUGAAUGAGUCUAGGGCUUCGAACUAUGAAAGUUGCUUAUGGGACUAAUGAAUACGAGACUCUUAACAGUUGUUUUGUUUCUUGUCUAUGUUAGGAAAUUGAUGGGUGAAGCAGAGCUAUAGCUAAAAUAAAAUUGGAAGAAAAAUAAAGAAAAAGCACAAAGAGGACACUAAGAAAUUACGUGGUUCAGCUUUUAGCCUACGUCCAUGGGCAAAGACAGAAGGAAAAUAUUUUACUAGCAAAAAUGAAUUACAAAUAUUGUGAUAUUUAAGCUCAAUACCCAAAAUCUCAAUACACCCAAACUCUCAAAUCACUAAUUACUCAAGAGUUUGUAAAAACUCUUAAAAUACUCUCACUUUCUCUCUAAAGAAGAAGAAAUAAAACUGAAAAAUUGGAUGCACUAAGCCGAUGGGGAACUCCCCCUUUUAUAGCCAAAAUUUACUAUUAAAAUAAUAAUUUUUUUUUCUUAGGCGACACCCUUUCUUCUUUUUCUUCAUUCCAAUUUUGCUGCUGUAAAAUUAAUUGUAUUUGAGUUGAAAUCUUUGUUUGGUUAUUGAGAAACAGAGAGAAAGUUGCUGAAUAUUCCGAAUCUUAUUCAAUGAAUAAAACGUGAUAGAUCUUACAGACUUUAUAUAUUUUCAUGAUCAUUAGUAAAAAAACUUUAACUAACUAAUUUGCAUUACAUUAAAAACAACCAAUCAAAUCAAUAAGAGACUAACUAACACUAACUAACUUCUACACACGUUAACUCUCAUUGCUGCUUAACAGAAUCAGCUGACUCAGCAUUGUUGACGUGGCAUUGCUGAUGUAUCUUAACUGCUGGCUUCUUCUCUCUUUUCAAUUCAGCACAAUGAGCUUUCUUCACAACCCCUCUCAAACUCAAAGGGCAUAAAUGCACAUUGAGUUUGGUUCUCAGAUAAAUGAAUUUAGGAGAGUUUAAGGGCUUAGCCAUUAUGUCUGCUAUCUGCUCUGCACUAGGAACAUAGAGUAUCUUAAGAUCUCCAGCUAGAACUUUAUCCCUGAUAAAAUGCAGAUCGAUCUCUAUAUGCUUUGUUCUUGAAUGGAACACUAGAUUAUGAGCAAGUUCUUAGCACUCACAUUAUCACACCAUAUAAUUGGUUUCUCCACACAACAGAGAUUAAUCUCAAUAAAUAAAGACUUUAACCAUGUUAUCUCUGAGACAGCAAUUGCAAGAGCUCUGUAUUCACUCUCUGUAGAAGAUUUAGUAACUACUGAUUGCUUCUUUGAAGACAAUGAGAUUAAGUUGUUUCCCAGAUACACACAAUAGGCACCAGUAGAUCUUUUAUCAUCAAGGUCACUCCCCCAAUCUGCAUCUGUAAAUGCUGUAAUUUUUAGCUCACCUUCUUUAACAAAUUUCAGCCCAUAGUCUUGUGUUUCCUUCAAAUACUUUAGCACUUGUUUGCAUGCCAUAAGAUGUUGAAGUGUUGGUGAAGAUACAUACUGACUUAGCUUAUGAACAGAGUAGGCUAUCUCAGGUCUUGUCAAAACUAAAUACUGAAUACCUCCUACUAUGCUUCUGUAAUGAAAAGGAUCUUCUAUGUAGUAACCCAUUUCUCCUUCAACAUUCUUCUACAAUCUGUAAUCUUUAUUGUUGCUCAUUGGUGUAUCUGUUCCUUUGCAUUCAAGCAUAUCAACUUUAGCCAAUAAGUCUAUACUAUACUUAUUUUGAGACAGAUACACACUAUCUAGAUCAUACAAAACUUCUAUUCCAAGAAAAUAAGACAGCUUUCCCAGAUCAUUUAAUGCAAAUGCAAAACUGAACAGCUUGAUAAAAUUUUCCAGCUCAUCACAAUUUGAUCAUGUAAUUAGUAUGUCAUCUACAUAUAUCAGGAUUAAAAUGAUUGAUCUUUUAUUCCUCUUCAAGAAUAAAGAUGAGUCAGACCUGGAGUUCUCAAACCCCCAUUGCAUAAGACUAUUUUUCAACUUGUCAAACCAUGCUCGUGGAGCUUGUUUCAAAUCAUAGAGUGCCUUGUGAAGUUUGCACACAAACUCAGGUCUUUUUGAAUCAAUAAACCAUUCUGGUUGACUCAUAUAUACCUCCUCAGUUAGAUCUCCAUUUAAGAAUGCAUUAUUCACAUCAACCUGUCUUAUCUGCCAUUAAUUCAUCACUGCUAAGCUCAAGACCACUCUAACUGUUGCUGCUUUCACCACUGGACUGAAUGUCUCAAAGUAGUUAACUCCCUCUAUUUGCUGGAAUUCUUUAGCAACUAACCUUGCCUUAUAUUUUGCAAUACUUCCAUCAGUGUUUGAUUUUACUCGAAACACCCAUUUGUUGCCAACCAGCUUGUGGUUUUCUGUUCUUGGCACAAGUGUCCAGGUACCAUUAGAUAUUAGUGCAUCAUAUUCAUCUUUCAUUGCCUGAAACCAUCUCUCAUCAUUGAGAGCCUCCUGAACAGUGUCUGGUUCUUUAUGUAACAAUACUGUUGUAUAUACCUUUGGCUUAAAGAUACCUGCUUUCCCUCUAGUAAUCAUGGGAUGUUAAUUUAGAGAUGGUGAGGUUACCACUGUUAGGUUAAUAUGGGAAGUAUUAUUUUGUUGGUUUUGUGAAAUUUUGUCUGAGGGUUGAUUAAAUGUUGUAUCAGGUACAGAAGGUAACAUUAUAGGUGCAGAUGGAUUAUUUGUAUAUGUGUUUGAGGGUUACUGGUCUGAGCCAUUUGCAUGUGUUGAGACUACUGUUAGAGGGAAAAUAUUGCCACUGGAGUAUGCUUGAGAGAAAGAUUCAUUGCUGUUGACUGAAAAAUCUAAUAUGACAGGUAAUGUUGAUAACUGAAAAACUUGUAUAGGAGUGAUUGUGCAAUAUGUAUCAGACUGAGACUUGUUUGAAGAAUGAAAGAUAUGAUCUGAAGAAAAUGGAUAUGAGUGUUCAUCAAAGACAACAUGCCUAGCUAUAUAUAUAUGACCAGAGGGAUGAAAACACUUGUAGCCUUUAUGAAAUGGACUAUAACCAAGAAAGAUGCACUUGGUUGUGUGAUAGUCAAACUUAUGCUUAUUAUAAUCUCUCAAAUAUGGAUAACAAGCACAUCCAAAGCAUUUCAGCAUGUUAUAAUUAGCCUUAUGUUUGUAAAGUUUUUCAUAUGGAGUAGACAACUUAAGUGCAGAAGUAGGGAGUCUAUUAAUGUGAUAGACUGAGGUAUGAAAAGCAUCCCACCAGAAUUGAAAAGGAAGUUUGGCUUGAGCUAGAAGUGUCAGUCCUAAUUCUACAAUAUGCCUGUGUUUUCUUUCCACAAGUCCAUUUUGAUGGUGAGUAUAAGGGCAAGAGUGCCUAAAAAGAAUGCCACACUCAUUUAGGAAAGAAGUAAAUGGCCUGUAUUCUCCCCCCCAGUCAGAUUGUAGACCUUUGAUAGUAGUUUGAAAUUGUUUUUCAACUUGAAGUUUAAACACUUCUAGAGCUUCUGAUUUAAGUUUCAAAGGAUAAAUCCAGGUGUAUCUAGUGUGAUCAUCCACAAAGCUAAUGUAAUACCUAUAACCAUCUCUAGAACAUGUUGGUGAGGGACCCCAUAGAUCAGUAUGAACAAGUUCUAAAGCUGAUUUGGAUUUGAUAUCAGUAAUUGGAAAAUGAAGUCUAUGAAAUUUGCCCAACUGACAUGCUUCACAGAAAUGCUUUGUUGCUUGAUUAAAAAUAUUUGUAGAGCACAAAUUGGGAUGCACAAUCUUAAGUAACUGAAUCAGGCUUUGAGUAUUAGGGUGGCCAAACCUUUUGUGAAGUAAAGACAUUUUAUUGAAUGAAUCAGUGCUACAAGUAUUCUUAUUUGACUGAAAACAUUUUCCAGAACAAAAACUAUUGACUGUAGUGUUAAGAUAACACUGAGAUAACAUAGAGACAAGUGUAUUUAUUAAACACUGAGAUUGAAAAGAGGUAUAUGUAGAUUGUGAUGAUGAAUUCAGCUGCAAUUUGUAUAAACCUUUCUCAGCAAUACCCUGUAGCAGAAUAUUUCCCUUCAGUAUAUCCUUCACAAAACAAACAGAUCUAAGGAAUUCAACAGAUAAGUCAUUAUCAGUGGUAAGUUUUGAAACACUUAUUAGAUUUUUUGUAAUAGAUAGAACAAGCAGUAUAUCCUUAAGUGCAAUGCAUGUAUUGGCAGAUUGUAUUUUAGAGCUUUGAAUUGUAAGAGUAGUGUUACCAACAUGUGUGAUUGACAUACCUUUACCAUCACCAAUGAUAAGCUUAUCAUUACCUCUUAACUCAUUACUGACAUGCAUAUUUGCCAUGUUAUUUGUUAGAUGGUGUGUAGUUCCACUGUCAAGAUACCAUCCUUCAUCUGCUGGUCCUUCAAAAUUAGCAAAAUAAGCAGCUCCAGUUCCAUUCACAGGCAAGCUCAUUGAAUCAUAUAUGUAUGAAGAACAUGGUGGAUUAUACAUGGGAGGUAUUCCUGAAUAAGCAGCUGCAGCAGGCCAUGAAUCUUCAGUGGGUGCAUUAAAGUAUGUCAUAUAAGCUGAUCUCUGAUUUCUUCAUCUUUUCAUGUGUUGGGGCAUAUAGUUUUCUUCAAAUCUAUGCCAACAUUCUGCUGUUGUGUGUCCAGAUUUAAAGCAUAUUUGACAUACAACACCUUGCUCAUCAUUACCAUCAGAAUUUGACAAACUAGAGUUAGCACUAUAUUGUCCUCUCAUGAAUUGUGCCUGCUUAUUAUUGUUUCCAACCAUUUGACCUCUACCAAGAUUGUUACCAAAAUUUCCAGAUCCAGAUGGAAAACCUCUUGGAUGAGAAUUGAUAAAUUGUCCCCUUCCAGCAAGAAAAUUAUUCCUUCCAAAUUGAUUUCCACCAUGAAAUCCUCCAUUAUAUCCACCUCUUCGAGCAUUACCUCUUGCUUGAGCAUAAUAAGCAUUCAUCAUACCAUAGCUAUUAUUAUUAUGAGAAACAUUAGCAAGAUUUGCAUUGAACAUCUGUUUUUCAUUCAGACUUUGCUCCAAUCUUGUUUCAUGUGUGAGCAGCAAUGCAUAUGCAUCAUCAAAAUCUAGCUUGCUAGCAGUAAUGAAAGUUGCUAAAUCUAGAUAGCCUGGUCCAAGACCAUUAAGGAUUUGUUGUAGCAGAUCUUUGUCAUAAACUAGAUUACCAGCACAAACUAAUUUAUCUGCUAUUUGUUUCAUUUUCAAACAAUAAUCUUCUACAUUUAGUGAAUCUUUUCUCAAAACACUCAUCUCAUAUUUAAGUUGAAGAACUCUAGCUUCAUAUUUUGCACCAAACUUUUUCUCCAAUGUUUUCCACACAUCAUAUGAACUACUACAAGAAUGAACAUGACUGAGAAUACCUUCAGUGAUCGAGCUUAAUAGCCAACUCAGUAAUGUCUGAUCUUGUGAUCUCCAGAUUGUAUAUUAUGGAUUUUCAACUUGUUGAGUGACUCUUUCCAUUGCUUCAGCAUAGCUUCCAGAAGUAAGAAAUUGAGUAGGUGCUACUUUUUCUCCAUUGAUAUAGCCUUCAAGCAUGUUUCCUCUUAUAGAAGCUAAUACUUGAUUUCGCCAGAGCAUGUAAUUGGAUCUAUCCAAUUUGAUUGGCGUAAUGAAUGAAAAGGUAGUUUCUAUUGAUUGAUUCAUGUUUGUUGUGUUUAAAUUGCUUGAGCUUGCCAUAAUCGUGGCUCUGAUACCAUGUAAAAUUAAUUGUAUUUGAGUUGAAAUCUCUAUUUGGUUACUGAGAAACAUAGAGAAAGUUGCUGAAUAUUCUGAAUCUUAUUCAAUGAAUAAAACGUGAUAGAUCUUACAAACUUUAUAUAUUUUCAUGAUCAUUAGUAAAAAAAACUUUAACUAACUAAUUUGCAUUACAUUAAAAACAGCCAAUCAAAUCAGUAAGAGACUAACUAAUACUAACUAACUUCUACACACAUUAACUCUCAUUGCUGCUUAACAGAAUCAGCUGACUCAGCAUUGUUGACGUGGCAUUGUUGAUGUAUCUUAAUUGCUGGCUUCUUCUCUCUUUUCAAUUCAGCACAAUGAGCUUUCUUCACAGCUGCUGCCAAAUUCUUCUUCAAACAAAGUUGUUGCUGACCAUCUAGAUGACCACUUUAUACCAUCUAGAUGGCCACUUUGUUUGAGAGUCUAAAUCUAUUUUUUGAUUAGCUUUUUCCUGUUUUUCCUUUUACUUUCCUUCAUUCUUUUAUCGUUUAUCAAACAUACCUUCAACUAUUCUAAUGUUCUCGUAUAGAGAGUAACUGAUUAAUUAAUGAGCUUAGUUAGUAUCUACAAUAUAUUGAUUUAUGAUUGCUCCGGCCAAGAGAAUUAGUUGGUUCUGAUUUUAUUGUGCAGAGUAAUUUUGGAUGUAAAUCUAGCUAACUUGAUUUGAAUACUAGUGCUACACUGCAAGUAUAACUACAUUAGCAAGGUUUAUUAAAUUUCACCAUGAAGGCCAAUAAAUGAUGAGGAUAAAUCAAAAAUAGAGUGUGAACUAAUAGGUAAUAUAUCUGGUUAAGUUUGCUGGUUGUACAAUAUUAGCUUGAUAUAUGAUUAAGAUUUGUUAAUUUGAUAAUGUCCAACCGUAGACUUGCUUUAAUUGAUUUAGCUAAAAAAGUUAGUAAGAUUGAGGUUGGUGAACCCCAUUGCUGUUUCUCGAAUUUAAACCAUUAACCAUUAACCAUUUUAUAAGAGGAACAGAAGGUAAUUAAAAAAUGUAGAGAAGAAGACUAGUAUCUAGCUGGUAGUUGCAGUUUGCAAGUAGCAUUAGGAUUAUUUUUUUAUAAGAUUUGGCGAUAGGAAAAUGCUCCCUUAAAGGAAAAAUAAGAUGAUUCUCAAUUUUGAACAGAAAAAUAUACUCUCUCUCCCUCCCUCUCUUUUUUAUUAUUAUUCGAAUGUUAGGUAAGGAAGCAGAUCCAAUUUCAAGUUCGUUUUUGGUCAUAGAACAUGUGAUUAAUUUGAGUUUAUAGUACAUAGCCUAGCUUAAUGUGCUUAUAGAUUAAGGAUAUUAUAUAGACUAGUUAAACUUGCUCGGGGUUUAAGGAUAAGUAAUAGAUACCUUAGAAGCAUUGCUUUUUUUUUUAAUUUACUUCUUUACACAAUAUUCAAAAAAUGUUUUUUGUUUAUUUAUAUACACAUGACAGACAGUAAAUAAAUAUAAUUUUUAUUGAUACGUGAGAAAAAGUAACCUGGAAUUUUCCUUCCUUGUCCUGUUUUGGUAUAACUAAAUUUCAGAAAAUGAUUUUUCUUUCUUUUAUUUUUCGGUUACUGGAUGGAUAAUGGUCAAAGACUUGUCUGAUAUUGGCAUCUAAAUUACUUUUUUCAUCAGUCCUGCAAUGCUCUUCUAUAGAGUCAUUCUAUUUGUAAUAACAAUUUCUAUUCGACAGUUAAGCUUUGAUAAUUUUGUAGAUUGAGUUGUUGCAGAUCCACUUAUCAAAAUUUGCUGCAAGUAUUCAGUCCCGCAGUGAUAUCAAAUCAACUUGACUAUAUUAUUUAUGCAUUAACAAAAUAUUCGAAGGAACAUUCCAUGUAUUAAUGAAUUGAUAUAUUCAUGCCACAAAUCAUAAACCAUAACUAUUGUUCCCAUGGAGAGUGGAAGGUUGCCGGUAAAAUUAUUGUUACCCAAAUUCAGAACUUUUAAGGACUGAAAAUUCAUCCAACAGUCAGGUAGUUCUCCGGAUAAAAUAUUUUCUCCAAGAUAAAGAAUUUCUAAUUCCUUUGACUCCUUUAAUCGAUGACAUAAAAUUUGAAAAAUAGAGCCUGAGAAAUAAUUGUUGGAAAGAUCAAUUCCAUACAGUUCAUUAGAGGAUACUGGAGGCAAUGGACCAUAGAAAUUGUUUGAACUCAAGUCAAGGUAUUGAAGAUGGGUAGCCUUGGACAAAUUAGGAAUCUCUCCCUCAAUCCGAUUAUUUGAGAAGUUUAAAGAAUAAAGCUGGGAAGAAGAUUCCCAAAAUUCAUCAGGAAUUGUAUCUUGAAUUCUUGAGUUGGAGAUAUCAAGAUCUAACAAAGAUUUUUGUGAGAGCAGCCAAGAUGGAAAUCUGUUUCUAACACAGGAGUGUUUGAAAUAUUUGGUAAUCAAGUUUUACCAAGUGCAGCUCAAGUUCUUACAUUAAUCAAGUUAGCAGAAUGUCUGUGCAGAAGGGGCAUCUUUGGAAAUUAAACUGUACUGCAUGAGAUCAAAUUAAUUUUCGAGCCAUACAUCAUUGGAAAUAUAUUUCUGUUAGCUUUCCAAUGAAUUUUACUAAUCUAAAUUUGGAGUUUUCUACAGUAAGUUAUGAUCAGUUAAGUGCAGACUGUUCAGUUUUGAGUCAAGAAGAAUAUUUCGGGACUUGGAUUUUUUUUAAUGUUCUUUGUUGUGUUUUAAGCAUACCAAUGUUUUAUUAAUGUCUAGCUUUAAUGUUGGUCUUAAAAGUCAAGUUAUUUGAAGGGUUUCUUUGUAGUAAAUCUAUGCUUGGAGGAUUGUUCCAAGAAAGCUAUUUAAGCUUAUGUAGUUGUAACCAAAGGACGAAGAUUAAUUUUGGAAUUGAAUGAACUUUGAGUUAUUAUCAAACUCUGUAUCUCUUUUGUGGAUUCCAAUGAGUGGUGAGUAUUUUUAAGCCCUGUAUCCUUAGCUUAACAACUUUAGGUGGUGAAUUUUUCUGUAUCCUUUUGUUGUUUGCUGUGGUGGUGAGCUUGUGAUUUCUUGGGUGUGUGACGUUGUGUUUUCCCAUCUAUUGUGUCCGGUGUCAAUUUCCUACUAAAUUACAAGAUUCCAAAUUUAACUCUUUUAGUUGAAAAGGAGGAAUCCAAUCAGGACUCACAUUUAAUGUUAAUGAGUUUUGGGAAACAUCGAAAUACUUUAAUUUUGAAAGCUUGGCAAAGUGAAUUUCAAAAAGAGAUCCAAACAGUGUGUUAUUGGAAAGAUUUACACUUUCUAACGAAGAGAGUUGCCCUAAAGACAAGGGAACAGGACCAGAAAUAAAGUUAUUACUUAAAAAAAAAGCUUUGAGAUUUUUUAAUCGCCUAAUUUGAUCGGUCAAAUGACCAAAAAGCUGACAUUCAGUCAUGUCCAACACCUCUAGACCAUCUAAAAUACAGGUUGAAAAAAUAUUUAAAAUUUCAGAAAUCUCUUGGUUCAUGUUUGUGUGUGAUAGAAAGACCGACCUUAACUUACAAAGUCUUCCGAAUGAUGUUGGAAUUUCCCCUUCAAGGUUAUUAAAAGAGAGAUCAAGUGUUUGGAUUGAAGUCAAGUUUCCUACCGAACUUGAAAAUGGACCUUGCAAGAGAUUACUCCAAAGAGAAAGAAACUCAAGACCACGGAACCGGGAGAAAAACCACUCAGGUAUUGUAGAAUUGAAAUAGUUGGCUGAUAAAUCAAGAUAUCUCAGAGACGUCAAGUUUCCGAGGCCACGAGGAAUCGGACCUUGAAAAUUAUUGAGACUUAGAUCAAGAAAGACUAAAUGGUCACUGAGACCAAAAACCCAAGGCAUCACAGAGGUACCUAACUGGUUUCUCGAAAGAUCAACGGUGGUGAGAGAUGAAAGGUUAUCUGAGGAUACAGAUAGUGAAGGAAAGUAAUGAAGUUGGCAGAUGGCCAACUUUAAUACUUUCAAAGAAGGAAGUGAGUUUAUUGCAAGCAACCAAUCAGAGACUUUGUCGAGGUUCACGCCAGUUAAAUCAAUGUGAUUCAGAGAUGAAAGACUAGAUAGCCACGAAAGAGUCUCGGCAUAAUUACCGAAAUUCCAAUUCAAGUCAAGAUACUGUAGAUUAGAGAGAUUUCCAAUUUGGUGAGGAAUCAUUCCUGCAAAACCAGCUCUAGAGAGAUUAAGAUAUCUUAAUUUCCCCAUUGAACCAAGAAAUUUUGGAAUCUCUAUGCCUUCAAAAUUAUUACCACUUAAAUCCAAGUAAUUCAAAUGUUUAAUCUCAAGCAAAGAGGAGUUUAUCUUACCACCCAACUUUGACAUCUCAUAAGGAUUUCCAAGAAGGAGCUGGAGGACAUGUCCUGUGGUGUUGUGACAAAUAACACCAGCCCAUUUACAGCAAUCUCCGUCACUAAUAUUCCAAGAGACAAGCCGGUUUGAAGGAUCUUUGAGAUCUUGCUUGAACUUCAGAAGUGCUUCUCGCUCACUUUCCAAGCAACUCACAUAAGUACUUCCACUGCAAAAGCUCAUGUUGAUUGAUGCUAUGGUAAGCAAUGCAAGAAAAAGAGAGGAGAAAGUAAUAUUCGUGGUUGGUUUCAUUGCCUUGCAAUUUCCAGAGAAAUUAGUUUUUUUUGGUCUUAUCCACGAGGUAUCCAGGGGAGGGCCCCAACUGUGGGAGGCACCUUUAAGCCCGUACCACAACCCAGACUAGAAGUCCCCGCUCGAACCGGGAGGCACAUGUUCUCCCAACAAAUGCGACUCGAACUGGGGAGCAAACCCAGUCAAGCCACUUAAGGGGACUCCAUUGCCAGUGGAGCCAACACUUUGUUGGUUCCAGAGAAAUUAUUUGUUACAACAAAGAGAUAUGCUUUGCAUAAGAAUCUCAUUAAUUGCAAGCAAUUUAUAGGUGGAAGUUACAUACCUUUAUCAAGUGAACUUACUUGUUUGUCCUUUCCUUUAAUUUCAGCCUCAAUCUGAGACCAGAUAUGUUUGUAAAUUUCUGUCUGCCCAUCGUAAUUAUUUCGUCAUCCAUUUUUAAAAUGGGAAAUUAUUACUUACCUCCUGUGAGGUUACUUUUAAUAUUACUAAUUAGCAGCAAUAGUUUCAAAGUUACAAUUAUAAAAUAUUUUAAAAAUAUUUUUAAUUAUAUUUUAUAUGGAAAAGGACAACUAUACGUCCAAAAUUUGAAGAAAUAGUUACAAAAACUCUUGGUUUUCAAAAAGGGAAACACCAAAAUCUAUUUUUGAUCAUAAUACCCUCUAAAUUUCAUAAUUAGAAAAUUAAACUUAAAUUUUCUUAAAAAUAAUUUCAUAUAUUAUUAAAUUAUUAAAAAUAAUUUAAUAUAAUUUUCAUAAAAAUAAUAAUGAAAGUAAUAAAUACAAAUAUAUUAUUAAAAUAAGUAUAAUAAUUUAAAAUCUUAAAAAUAAUUUAAUAUUAUUAGUCUACUAGAUAUAAUAUGUUAUUUGUCUUAAAUUUAAAUUAUUUUUAAGAAAAUUUAAAUUCAAUUUUCUAAUUAUUAAAUUCAAAAGACAUUACAGUCAAAAAGGUAUUUUGUUGUCCUUUAGUGAAAAUUUAAAAGUUUUUAUGACCAUUUUUCAUACUUUCGGGAUGUAGGUGUUUUUUUCCUUAAUUUUUAACCCUUAAUUUAUAAGUUAAAAGUGGCUUUGGUAAACAGUUUUUUUUUCAAUUAAAAAUUCAUAUUAUGUUCAGUAUUUUGUCAAUAGUAAUAUUAUUAAUUGAUAUUUAUCAAAGAUUCUUCAUAGCUACCCACUUUAAUUUCACAACCUAACUACAAAAUGGAGACUUGAGAUUAGUUUGAGAGGGGAUGUUAGGAAUAAAAUGAAGACCAUAGAAUCUAUGUUUGAUCCUAAAGAUCAUGAUCAUAAUGGGAUGAAAAUUACUCUCGAUCAAGCAAUUAAAUAUGGCCGAACUCAAAACCAUUAUGAUAAUUACCUAUGACAAAAAUAACUACUAGCCAUUUUAAAAUGCAAAUAUGAUAAGAAUUGCGACCAUUAUGUAAUAAAAAAUGUGCAAGAUUAAAUAUUUUUAUUUUUACUUAUUCUUUUAAAAAAAAAUUAAUUUAGACUAUAAGCUACAUUGAAUGAUAAGAAUGAAGUUUAUUUGUUUCUAAAUUUUUGUAUCGAAGAGGUAUAUCUAACGCAUGAGAUAGCUUUUAAAUAUGAGUUGCGAAAUUUGAUUUCUAUACAAAGAUCUCUUAUUUCAUUUUUAAAUUAAUGUGACAAGAAAUUGAUCAUUACUUUUACGGUCAUCAUAGUAUUGGCAUUUUCCCGUUCAUUGGCAGGGUCUAUUUUUUAAAAUCCCAUCUGGAAGAAGCAUCUGUGACCUUAUUUUCUGCGUUAAUGUCGCUGCAGGAUGUUUCAAAGAUAUUUUAAUUGCGCUAUUUACCAUAGUAAAAAAUUGGGUAUUUAAAUUUUGUUACGUGCUUGUCUCUUUGAAAAAGAAUUAUGUGUUACGUGCUGGACGGAUAUUUAAAUUCCAAAAGAAUUAUCUUACGUGCUGGACGGAUAUUUAAGUUCAAGAAGAAUUGUCUUACGUGCUGGACUUGUAAUAAAGAGAUUAUGGGAUUUUGUUGACAAAUAAAAUUGUAGGGUAUUUGUGGAAUUAAAAUGGAUGUAUUUAGAAGUAGUGUGGUUUUUAAAUAGGGAGAUUGCCAAUGUCCCCCUUAUUAAAAUCAUUAUAUACCAAUUCCCCCCUCACUAUUUUCAUAAUGACCAAUUUCCUCCCUGCCGUUAUAACAGUAACAAAAGUUGCUCAAUUUUUAAGUACUUUUACCUAUUUGCCCCUAGUGUCUAAAUGACAGGAGAUUGGCGCCAAUUUUCUUGGCUCUAGUGGAUAAAAUUACACAAUUACCCACAUAUGUUUUAAUUGAUACAUAACAAAGUGAAAUUUUAAAAGUGCCCUUACUUUUAAAGUAAAAAAGACUUAAUUGCCAUUAAUAUAUGGAUUGAAAAAAUGAAUAUUAAUAGGAAGAAUAACGUUUAUUUUCUAAUUUCAUGAAUCAAGUUAUAUAUACCAGUAAAACACAAUUGCAAUAAGCCUAAUUUGCGUCACUUGUGUCAAACCACAUUCCUUGCACAAAGCAAUAAAGUAAUUUUUCUAGAUAGCAUUAGGUUCACAAAACUCAACAACUCCAUGUCAGUCUCUAGUAACUGCUUAGCACCUGAAGAAGGAAUUUGAGCCAUUAUCAUGAACUUUUCAUCAUCCAGCCGAUGUCUAUUAACUACUUUCUCCAUAACAUCAUUAAUCAUAGCCACGAAGCUUAAACAUUCUAUCUCAUACUCACCUAGGUCAAUUAGUUUACCAUCAAAGUGAACCUUGACAUGUAUUUGAUCCAUCUGUCAAUAUAAAUAUUCAAAUCAUGAUACUUAGAAAAGAAAAAUUAACAUUUUUUUAAUUCAGGCACAUGAUUCAAAUAACUAACAAUUAAAAAAAAUGAUUUUCUUUAACACUUAUAAAGAAGAAUACCUUAAAACAUAAACAAAACCAAAUUUUAUUUUCCCCAAUUCAACAUCAAUCCGUACACUGAAAAAAAAAACAUAAAAUGAGUUAUUCCUUAAAAUAAAAAACCGGAAUACCGAUUACUUAGCAUCCAUAUUAUUUAUAGCCCAAAUAUGUUUAUCAAAAAUUUUAUUCUGAAAAUAUCCAUAACAUUAUCACUUCAGCAUCAACAGACAACAAUUAGUAAAUAAAGAUAAAAAUUUCGGUUGUAUUAAAUGCGUGCUUUUAACCAUUCACUAACCUGGAAUGGUAAUAGAAUCAUCUCCACAUGUACACAAAUGCUUUAGCAAAAAGACAGUUGAAAAAAGUUUGAUUUUGAAACUUUCUCUCUGACACCCGAAAUGAUAAGAAGUAAAGAAAAUGAAAAGCCACUUUCUCUUUUGGGUAAAUUUACUUAAAAAACCUUUUAUUUUCAUUAAUUUUAUAUUUUAUUGUGUUAAAACCUAAUUUUUUACAUCACAUGUCAGAAUAGAAUUUAAAAUUCAAAAAACAAUAGUUAAAUGACCUUCUUAUCCUCAUUUUCAAUUACUGUUAUAACGGCAAGGUGGUAAUUGGUCAUUAUAAAAAUAAUAGGGUGGAAAGUGGUAUAUGGUAAUUUUAAUAAGGGGGAAAUUGACAAUCUCCCUUUUUAAAUAUUUAUAAUUAUGUGGAGAUGCAUCAAAACAACAUUUUAUUUCCCACCAAACAAUUUUUCAUCAUUUAUAACUCCUACUAUUAGAUAAGAACUUAUAACUAAUGAUGCACUAUUUGAAGCUUUUUUUUUUUCAUGCUUUUCCCAGAGGUUUGGAGAAAGGUACAAUCAAUAGGAUUUUCCUAUUCCUCUCUUCCUCAAAGGAACAACGUGAAUUAUUUUUCAUUUUCCCCUCCAUAGGUACCAAGAGAUUGGAUCUAGCUAUAAGAAGAAUGCUUGGCUCAUAAAUAACUCACUUCUUAGUCUUCGACUCCCUCAGUCGCUACGAAUGCCCUCGAGUGGUGCAAUAAGAUAUAGAUGCUUAUCUACCUAUGCACUUCAUUUGUAUGAUUAUGUAAUAGGAGGACUCAUUUUCUUAUUUAUAUAUACUCUGAGAAUAAAUAAAAGUUGUCUUUAAACUAUUGUUGUACCUCUUACUUGUACUCUCUCUCUCUCUCUCACAUUAUAAUAUGUUCCUAAUUGAUGAAUAUUUAACAGAAUACUACUUUUGUCUUUUAAUUAGUGACAAUAAAUAAAUCAUGAGCUAAUUUGUUCAUUUAUGUGAACCACCACCCAGACUAAUAGAAAAUCUAACAGGUUGGGUACGGUAAUGACUUUUCAAAAUAUUAGAAAUGGAAUAACGCAAUAAUGAUUAGUAUUUAGGUGUGGACUCACAUUUACAACUGUUAAUAGUCAAAUUUACUCAUUUCAUUUUGUGAAAUGAAUUUAGAAGAAGUAGAUUUGACCUCAUUUUCUACGUCAAGAUUUUGCGAAACCCAAUUUGUAAGAUGUGACGUGACCUCAUUUUCUACGUCAACGUCUUUGCAAGACAUUUAAGAGAUAUUUUAGUUUGAAGUAGGUUCCUCUGUGGAAAUUAAUUUCGAACUUUGUCUUUGAAAGAAGUAGAUGUGACCUCAAAUUUUAUUUCAACCUAUUGUUACUUUCUUAAUCGAGAACUUCAUACCCAUCAUUAAAGUUAUAAAAUUAUACUUCUCUACAAACACUCUUCUUUUGUUUCUAAAACAUUUGUUGUUUGUACCUGCAUCAUCUUUACGAACUUGCCAUAUAUACUCGCAUUUUGCAGCCAAGAAAAUCUGUAGGACUAUUGCUUUCAAAUCUCAACCGUAGCUAAAUGGAACGAAGUUUUCGGAUUAGAAUUUGGAUCCAAUAUUUGUUUAUCUAAGGAUUUAGUUCCACAUGUGCAUUGUUAUACUUAUAAUAAUCGUAACUAGAGAGUGUUUUAAACUUUUCAUUGCUCUCUCUAAUAUUGGGAUGUCAAAAAAAAUAGAAAUAUGUGUGAUCUCAGGAUUAUGACCACUUAUAUGGACAACUUUUCAUAUUGUCUUUAGGUAUUCCUACUUCAACUCGUCAUUGAAAUAGAAAUUAUGCUUAAGACUCUACACAUUAAAGGCGCAUACCCUAUUAUAUGCAUUAAAACUUAAAUUAUUAAAAACCUAAAAAGAUCACUUUGAAUUGAGUUUAAUCUUAUAUGACAGUUUGCAACACAUAAUUAUUUACAUGUAAACCCAAUAUUGGAUUCAGGAUCCAACAAUAUUGGAUUAAAUAUCCAACAAUACUAUCCCUUAUCUUUUAAAAAAAAAAUAUUGCAUGACAUGUAUUGAGUCCAUCAUCUUUUCGUAAUCCACCAAUCAGAACAUGAUAACUCUCAUCUAUCCCCGAGAUUAUAGUUUUUACCUACUAAGUCAUUUUUUAUAUGCCUGAUUCCUAAGUUUGCAUUAAAAACCGUACAUAUCUUAAUUCCAUUGGUUGGUUGUAUAUACAAUAAAAAUAAUGACACUAGAAGAUUUGUAACAAAAUAUGGUUGAAUUUAAAAAGUAAAUGACUCAUAUAAGUUCACAAUAACGAAUGACUAUUAAACCACCCGAUCUUGAAUGAUAAAUAAUAUUUCUUAACUAAUUCUAAUUAAGAUAAAGAUAAUUAAUUAUUUUGAUUUAUUGCUUUGUUUUUAUUAUUAUUUGAUUUUUCUCACAUAAAAAAAAAUUCAUUGACGGAGAGGAAACUCUUCUUUCUUCAUAUUUGGAUUCAGUGCUCUGCAGAUUUGAUGAUCUCGUAUUAAUCUUGUUAUAAAACUAUAUUUACUGUUAUCAAAGUAUAUCUUACGUAAUUAAUUCUUAAUCAUACAUAAUUAACUUCAUUAUAGUUUAAAGCACUAGAUCCAAAAUACUUACAAAACUUUGUCAUACACAAUUAUAAGAUUUAAAUUGCUUAUUUAAUCUACCAAAAAAACAGUUUUACUUAUUUAAUUAUGAAAUAAUGACCGACCAACAGUUAGUUUGCGAACGAUUUAUUAAUUAAGAUAAUGAGCAACUUGACAGAACAGCCAAAAGUACUAGCAUUGGUGGGUAAAAUUAAAAAUGAGUUCCAAGAAGAAUAUAUUCCACUAAAGAAAGGACAAAGGAGAUUGAUGGAUGAUGACUAAGAGUAAGAAAGACUCUUGCAUUAUCAUUUCCCAAAUGAUCAAAUCUCUAAUUGAACUGCAAGAGGAAAGCAAAGAGAUUGAGAAAUCCCCAGUCCCUCACGCGAUGCAUUGGAUGUCAAGGAGAAAUUUAAAAUUACCUCAUGAUUAUAGCUCGAAUUGUAUUCUUUAAAAAAAAAAAAAAUUACUGAAGGAAUAACUCAAUUAAUUUUGGCCAUUUGCAAUAGAAGCAACUUAUCAAUAUGGGAAUUGAUUGAUUAAUAAAAGAUUGAGUUAAUAAAACUUUACGUUGAUUGACAAUGGCAAAAUGUUCUGCGCUGAAAAUAAAGAUUUAGGUUCAAACCCUGUUCACAUGGGUGGAGAGGGGAUUACAUUGGAUUGUCAUUGACUAAAUAAUAAAAAUAAAUGAAAAAAAUGUUGAUCGGCAAAAAAUUUUCUUAACCAAUUAGGACUCGUUCGGCAUUGUUUUUUGGAGACUUCAAACUGAUUUUACGAAGUUAAAAGUUAAUUUUAUUUUUAAAAUUUUUAAAAAAAUUUAUCUUGUCAAAAUCACUUAAUCUUACAGUAAAUUUUGAAAGUCAGAAAAAGAGUAAUUUUUCAAAAUCUAAUUUUGAGAAUUAGUUUCUUAUACAAUUUCUUAUAUAUCCUAAUAUAUGUUAUAGAAAUCCAAAAUAAUUCUUAUUUAAGUAGGAAAUAAAAUUAUUGUAUUUAAGGAAAUUAUUAUUAUUAUUACCAAUUAUAUUGAGAUAAAAAUUUAAUUAAUAAAAUAAAAUAUUUAUUUUAGUUAUCAAUUAUUAUAUAUACACAUAAAAUAAUAUUACAUACACAUUUAUAAAUGCAUAUGUAAAUAAAUAUUAUAGAUUUACGUCUAUUUAAGUCAUUUGCAUUCUUAAAGCAUUUUAAAAAUGAGAUCUACGUUUUAAAACUUAAAGGAUUUUUAAAAAUAAAAUUUAUUAAAUAUUUAACUGAUCUCUUCACAAUUCAUUAUUUUUAUAGCACAAACUGACACUAAUUAUUUUAAAAACUACAGCAUUAUCAAACUAAUCCUAAGUUGAAGAUAAUCAAUAACUCUGAUUUAUUAUUUUAUUUCCAUCCUUAGUUCAUUUUUCCCACACAUAAACAAAAGUCAUCGACGGAGGAACUUCCUCCUCCCUUCAGAUUUGGAUUUAGUCUCCACCGAUAUGAUCCUGUGUUAAUCUUUCCAAAUUACUGAUUUAAUUAUGAAAUACAAUGACCGAACAACGAUUAAUUAUUUGAAAUAGAUUUAAUUAAAGUAAGAUAAUGAGCAACUUGUCAAAACAGCCAAAAUUGUUGCGGUUGGUGGGUCAAUGACGAGUUUCCAAGAAGAAAAUUCCACUAAAGCUAGAAAGGACAAAGGAGAUGAACGGAUGAUGACUAAAAUGAGUAAUAAAGAAAGGUUCAUUACCAUUUCCCAAUUGAUCAAAUCUCUAACAAAAGAGAUGCAGAUUGAACAGGCCCAUAUACACCAGCAUCCUUUGACACUCUGCGAGAAGAAUGAUGAGGGUAAACUUCUUUGCCCUCUCUGUGGCAACCCUUUCGAGAACCUCAACCGUUGCAGCAGGUGUGGGUUUUAUCCGGAACCGACAGAAUGCUUUGGUUGCCACGACAAACCCCCCUCACAUAAGCAUUCUUUUUACAUCUGCAAACUGUGUUGGCCCAACUCUCCUAUUUUUCAUAAAUCAUGUGCAGAAUUGCCGUCACAAAUCCAAAUCCCUUUUCGUCCACAUUGCUCUUUCUUCUUCAGUACUAGUUCAGAUAUGUUCUCUUUCACCAGGACUCGAAAAUUUCGUUGUGAUUUCUGUGACUGGUCACAAAAAGGCUAUAGGUUCUGCUGCUACCUUUGCGGUUUUCAGAUUUGUGCAAGAUGUGCUGGCAGACUCAUCGCGUAUCAUGAAGAUCGCGUAGAGCACAUUGAAUAUUUCAGUCACCAGCAUCCCUUGGACGUCUUUCAGGUGGAGGAUGCGACGUGCAGGAUAUGCAACAAAAAUCUACGAGGUCAAAGCUACGGUUGUGUCCCUUGUGGUUUUUAUAUCCAUGAAUCAUGCAGUGAGUUGCCCCAACAACAAACUCUACAUCCUUUCCAUCCACAUCCGGGACAUUUUUUGUCACUCAGCGACAUAUAUAAGAACAGUAUUUUGCACUGUGAAGCCUGUCUCUCCAUGACUAACUAUUUUGUGUACGAUUGUGUAAAGUGUGAGUUUUGCUUGCAUCCUCAAUGUGCGUCUCUGCUGCCAAACUUAAAGUACAAAGGUCACGAGCAUCUUCUUAUUCUAGUGGAGAAUAUGUCCUACAAAGGCGAAUGCGAAGCAUGCAGAGGUAACAUUGAAGGUACUUUCUUUUUUCGGUGUGUCCAGUGUAGGCUUAAUUUUCAUGUCCAGUGUGGCUCAGUCCCUGCUUCACUACCACCAACUGUUGUGCAUAAAAAUCACGAUCAUCCUCUCACACUCACUGCAUAUGUCAAAUAUUAUGUUGAAUCACUUAAGUGUUACGUUUGUAGUGAAGAAAUAAAUCCCAAGGAUCCUUGUUAUCUUUGCGUUGAAUGUGAGUACUAUGCACAUGUGCGUUGUGCGGUGAUCACUGAGAUAUUCUGCGAUGAUGAUCGAGAGGUAUUGGGACAUACCAGCCACGAUGAUUGCUCAUUUCUUCUUGAAAACAAGAAUGAUGAUGAAUUGGGGCAUUCUAUUCACUGCCAUACUUUAACCCUCUCGGAAGUAGGUGACGUGAAAUGUAAAUUAUGCUGCAAAAAUAUCCAUGGAUCGGGCUAUGGUUGCGCCCCAUGUGAGUUCUAUAUCCAUAACUCAUGUGCUGAAUUACCGCAAGAACUCAGACACCCUUUGCACCCACUCCCAAACCAUAGUUUGACACUCCAAGAAAGCAAGUUUUUGGAGGGAUAUUAUUGUGAUGCAUGUGACUUGAAUGUAAAUCCAGGCGUAUGCUACCGAUGUGAUUAUUGCGACUUUGCCCUGCAUCUUGAAUGCGCGUAUUUGAAGCCAAGCGUAAAGUACGAAGGUCAUGAGCAUCUUCUUAUUCUUGUGGAGAAUAUGUCCUAUCAAGGGAUAUGUGAAGCAUGUGGUUUUGAAAUUGAGGGUACUUUCUUUGUCCGGUGUGUCCAGUGCUGCUUCAAUCUUCAUGUCCAGUGCGGACCAGCCCCGGCAUCACUACCAUCAAUUGCUGUGCAUAAACAUCUCCAUGAUCAUCCUCUGUCCAUCUCCACCAAGGCAGUAGCCAAAAAUGAUUCUGAUGUACUUUAUUGUGAUGCUUGUGGGGAAGAAAGAAACCCAAGGCAUCCGUAUUAUUGCUGUGUCAAAUGUGAGUACAACGCACAUGUGCGUUGUGUGCUCACUGAGGUAUCACAUGAUGAACGAGUGAAGCUUAGGCAUUUCAGCCACGAUCAUUGCUUGUACUUUGCUCUUGAAAGCAAGAGGAAUGGUGGUGUUACUUGCUAUGCAUGUGAAAGAUUAAUCCAAGCAGAUGAUCCAGCAUAUGGUUGUGAUCCCUGCGGAUUUUAUCUCCACAAAUCCUGCGCUGAAUUGCCCUGGCAGCCCCAACAUCUCCUCCACAGGCAUCCUCUCUAUGUCUCGACAGAUCAUUCUAAAACAGACCGUGUAUGCAGUGCUUGUCAUAAAAAUGUGUCUGGCUUCAUUUACGAAUGCAACCGUUGCGAUUUCACUUUAGAUAUUGACUGCUUUUCAUUGCAAUUUCGAGUGGAACUGCAAGGUGAUGAGCAAAUUUUCACUUUCUUUGAAAAGUUAGAUCACAGCUCGAAAUGCCAAAGCUAUAACUUCAUGCAUUUAGAUGUAUCCAAUCAGCGUUGUCUGAAAUGCAACUUUAAUAUCCAUCUUUUACAUUCUCCAUUGCCACAAACUAUUCAACACAUGAGUCACCAUCAUUUGCUGACCCUCAUGGAUAGUCUUGUUGAUGAUGAGUAUGAUGCACAAAUUUGUGAUAUUUGCGAGGAGGAAAGACACCCUAAAGCGUGCGUUUAUUAUUGUUCAGAAUGCGACUUCAUAGCGGAAUUUGAUUGCGUGAUUUCUGAGGUAAGCAUAAUUAUAUGCCGAUAUCCUUUGGAAAAUCCUUAAUUGAAUCUCCAAUAAAUUGCAUUGAAUAUAAUAUAUGUUCUAUAUAUCAUAAUUGUUUGAAAUUUACGCGAAUUAUUUUUGCUUGAUGUAUAGGUAAGACUUGCACUACAGAAAAAGCCGCGAGAUGUACAAUUUAGAUUUAUCAAUAGGAAGAGCAUUAUCCAUGAGAGCACUGCUGGCGAGGUGGUCAACAGUAAGAGCUCAACCUUGGGGGAUAUUGAAGAGUCCUUAACCGAAGAGGAAGCUCAGCAAUUCAAUGACAUACUACAGGAUGUGGAUAAGGAAGUGGAAGAGAGUCGGGAGAAAUUUUCUAUUGAUCAACAGCUUAUGGCAGUAGAUUCUUCUAAGGAAGACACGAAGUCAUUAAUGGAAUCGCAGAAGGCUGUCUCUUUGUAUUUCAUGAAGGAUUUAUUUGAAUGGGAGGAUUAUAGGUCAGAGCUUAUCAAUGUCAAUGAUAUCUAUAAAACCAGUCCAAGGUUGGCCGGUGUUCUCAGAAAACUGCUUGACAAAUAUGGGGAUAUUGGUUCCAGUUGCAAUUUAAAUCAAGGACUAAAGAACUGUGUCCUCGUCCUAUUUUGUGCGACUGUGCAUAGUAUGUGUGACACUAUGGUUCAGGACAUCACCGAUGACUUAAUUUACACCUGGUGGAGGGACUCCAGAAUUGCUCAACGAGCAGGGUUUAGAGUUGGUUUUGUGUUUGAUCAUUUGGAGAGGAUUGCGGAAGCUCGUCAUGGAAUUGAUACUGAGUUAUACCAGAUUAGCCCCAUUCGCUAUCAAUACAAAAAGAUGUCUAAGCUUUUAGGAGAGAUUGACCAGCUAGACCAAGAUAUUGGGGAACGAAAAGCAAAAGUGGACGAAUUUAGGAAGCAAGCACAGGAGAUGAUAUCUACUAUUCAUCCUAAGAGAUUGAGAUUGGAGACCGAGGAGUUGAGUAAAGCAAUGGAUAUUGGGAUAGUGAAAGCAGGAAAAUACACCGGCUUGCUGUGAUUCUUCUAUAUAGACUAACAAGUUAGUGCCAUUUCUUAUUUGGUUUCUGUUAUUUUUCCCUCUCAAAUUUACUACAUGCACAACCAACCUGUUAUUUUAAGAGCAUUCUCAGAAUAACUAGAAACAGGCUUGUAUGCCAAGUAAAGAUUGAUGGCAUGGAUAUAAACUAUGCAUCUCAAGUAUGCAAGUACGGUUUUAUUUCUUCGAUUAAUUGUGUGGACAUAAUAUCAAAAUUUCAUAUCUCUGUCUGAAAUAACUCACUCUCUCUCUAAUUUACAUGCAUAUAUUCUUGCAAAUUAUAUUAACACUGAAAAAAAAAAAAACUGUUGAAUCCCUCAACUCAUCAUAUUCCAAAAGAUAAUUGAUUCCCUCACAUAUCAUUGUAAGGCACGCCAAUAUCUUAUUAAUUCUCUCACUCUCUCUCGAACAAAAGUAAAAGUUAUUGUAUUUUCCUAGUACUAUGAUCUGUACAAGAGCAGCAUCUCAAUUCACAGAGAUAGUGCUCAUCUUACACAAGUGCACAAAAAGAAGUGCUAAAGCAGAAGAUUUGCAGAUGGUAGGCAAAGGGAUCCCGUAUUUUCCUCUCCUGAACAGCCCCUGCAGAAAAGGCAAGAAGCAUAGGACCACAUACGUACUACAAAAGAACUCCCCAAGCCCUGUGCCCUGCCCACCUUGUGCUUCCAACCCUAGCAAGGCCAUGGCCAAUGCUGAAACGUGCACCAACAGAAUUGUCGUGCCGGGAAUGAAAACAGGGGAUUCGUCGAAGAUCAUUUUAUCAUCGUCUUCGCCACAAUCAUCAGCAGGAGUCCUGGGCUGAUGAAACUUUUGGGUAAUUUCAAAGAUAGUUUCUGACAGUCCUAAGAACUUGAGUAUUACAUUUAAAAGUCCCAAGAACCAUGCACCUGUUGCGGAAAUUCUUGCCAUACAACUGUUAACCCACCAUGAAUCGAUUGGGAAGCCAAUACGAAUGUAGUCUGAUAAAGUAUACACUUUGUAGAUCACAAAAAGUGUUACAGGUAUGCAUAUGCCCAAUUCCUGAAUCUGUUGUGGAAGCUACACAUGUCAUAAUUCUAUUGGUUGGUUGGUUGAAUGUACAACGGAAGUAUGCAUAAGAAUUUAUUACCUUUGGGAGGAAACUGGAGUUGGUGAUGAUGCAGUAAGCUGGAAGAGCAGCAUAGCACACCUCAGGAAUUGAGCGUAAGCCCCAAAUAAGGAUCCACAAAUAGGCCAAGCAUUGGCGGAAUUGGAGCUUGCUUGUGAAGCAAGCAAAAAUGGGAUUUGUUUUGCUAAAUAGAAUUUCAAGGAAUCCUGUAGCCCAUCUUUUUUGUUGGCUCAUUGCUGCAGGGUCCGCAAGUGCACCACAGCCAAGAAAAGCCCGUGGAUCUGGCGAGCAAUAACCUGAUCUCCAACUUUUUGCAUGGAUCAUCAUGCCAGUUAUCAUAUCUUCUGUUAUGGAGCCAUAUAGAAAGCCAACCUGAAAAGAAUAAAUAAAAGUUCAUUAUACGUUGGAUGAGAAAAGUUCGAAUACUUUUGGUUUAUACUUCUUCAUCGAAUUAUUGUAUUCUAUACUUCUGUAAAUUUGAGUCUAUUGGGAAUCUGAAUUUAUAUAUUUAUAGACUAUAGUAUAAAUUCUAGGUCUACUAGUGUAUUUUCAAAAACAUACUCCCACAAUAUGCGGAGAGAAAUGCACCCCUGUUUCCCAUUUGGUGGGAAGAGGAAAGAGCCACAUGACCAGAGGACUCGAAUUAGUGCCAUCGAAUGUUGAGGGCACCCGGCCAACAGUCCAAUAGUAUACUUUGUGUGAGUAUUAAAAAUCUAACUAAUAAGAGAGAAUAUGUCUGGGUUGUUAUGAUCAACAGUCCAAUAAUAUAUUACUUCUAUACGUUAGAUCUAUUGUACUAUCAUCAAUAUGAAAAAUAAAUAACUGAAACACAAGCUUAAAGAAAAAAUUGUUCAUAGUGCUAGUUCUUCUCUCAUGUCGAUAUCUUCAAUUUCUUGAAAGUUUGCUGCCUACCUUUUUACCCCAGUCACUGCUAUGCUCAUAGUCACAACCUGCAACUUGGUGUACUACAUCCAGUGAUUUCGACAGAAUGCUUGUAAAAUAUGCCUUUCCUUUCAAAGCAUGAGCAGCUGAGUUGAUGAAUUCCUUUGAAUUUCCAAUUUUUUUCAAUAACUCAUCAUCCGCUUCUUUUCCUGCAAGAUUAGGAUUUAGGUAACAUAGUGUUUACGGGAAUAUUUGGGAUUGAGGAUUAUCAAUCCAUAGCCAAAGUGAAUUCAAAUCAUUAGCUAGGAUAUGUCUGGGUUCCAUGUUCAUGUGGGCUUACAUGGAGUGAAAUAUAAAAUGUGAUCGGCGGUACUAAUUCGGUUUUAAUUAAAUGCUAACUAAUUGAAUUUGGAUUCAGUGCUAAGUUGAGUUGUACUAAUCUUUUCAUAAUGUUUUACUAAUAAAAAUCCUUACAUUGCAUAAGAUCUUUCAAAAUGCAGUACAGAUAAGAUCAUAAUAAGAUCCAAAUAUAAGUUUUUGUAACAGCUUAGAAAAAAAAAAAAAAGUCUCCCACGCUAAUGUCAAUUCUGCUUAACUUUAAAGAUUUACAAUCACUUAUACAUUUGUACCAAUGUAUUAUCAAAAUUUAAUUAACAACGCAUUCUCCAAAUUUAAUUAUCAACACGUUCUUAUCAAAAAAAUCAUUAAUCACAACCUUUAUAUUUAUCUCAGCACCAGCUAGGAUUAAUAUAGAAUCCAAAUGCCCAAAAGAAAAAAGAUUCAUAACAGAAAUAAGAAAUAAGAAAACAGAGUACCAUUAAAUUCAUUAACAUAUUUUCCUUGAUGAUCCACCUCACCCGGCCACAGACCAUACACAACAUUUCGUCUAUGAAAAGUUCCUGAACCUGCAUAGAAUGGUCCUUGAAUUCCCACCAUUCCUUUAAAGAGAGUCUAACAAAAUAUCGAGCAAAACAAACAAGUUAAACACCCCAUUGGCUAUGCAUUGAACAAGCAAUUAACUACGUUUAUUGACGCAUCGAGUAUAAGAUUAAAAAUAGAGCUAGCAUGACUCACUUGAUGCAGAACGGCUAGAUGAUCCGUUGGUCUAUCAUAGAAAUAUUGCGGACACUGAACAAACCCCCAGUCUCUUUCGUCACUGGAGCCUAAGAACAAACACAUUGCAUGAAGAACAAGCUCUGGGUUGUUGGCAUACAUGUCGCAAUCCACAUUAAGCAUGAAUGGUGCAUUGGUCAUCAAGCCGGAGACUCUAGUCUAUUCGUCAUUCAAAAUUAACAAUAAAUUAAAAAACAAUAGUGAUUGAGAUUCAACAAUUGAGUCAAAACUUGAGUCCCAAUUGUUAUGUAGUAUUCAUCUAUUGGAUAGUGAAUUUCAUUAGUAAUAAAAUCAAUAUAUUUAUCGUCCAUUAAAUGAAUGCCGCAUUAGUUGAGAUAAAGUUGGUACACAAUUAUUGGAAUUCCUAGCGUUACUCAAAUAAGUAUCGACUUACUAAUACAUUCAUGGCCCCCGCUUUAUAAUGAUGUGGGUUCUUUGGCCUUUUCUCUCUGGAUAUGUAGAUUAAAUGUGGUAUCCCAUCAGAGAGACCUUGCAUAUUCUCCCAUAUAACCUACAAAUAAUAAAAUGAUUAAUCCAAUAAAUCUUCUUUUUCGGUUCUCUAAAGAAAAAAUUUUACAUCGGCUUGAACUAAUUUUGUUGAGCCAAUAAUAUAAGCUUCUGGCAAACCGCAACUCUUGAACUAGAUAUUUUGAAAAAAAAGAAAGCGAAAAUGAUAACAAAAUUGUAAUUACUUGUUUACUCGUAGUUUUGUCGGAUGUCAAUUUUAUCGAGGAUGAAUUCUUUGACAUGUCAAGUGCUUUUCGUAGAAGUUGUUUCGUAGUCCUUUCUUAGAAUGUCCAUUUUCCACGGCAAAGCACAUUGUAAAAGCCAAAAAUUGACUGAAGAAAUAAACUAGCUAGUUAUUACCUUGAUUAUUGUUGGAUGAUUCUGGCAUUCUGUGUUGAAGAAAACUUCCAAUUCCCCUGUUAGAUCAAAUGAAGUAGAAUUGUUGGCUGCAGCUUCAAUGUUUCCGCAAAGUCUCUCGUACUCUUCCUAUAAUUAACAAGAUCAUAAGUACUCUAUGUACAGAUCAAACAAAUUACCUACACUCAUUAUUAAUUGUGAUGGCCGUUCUCUCUUGACCUAUGUGAGCGGGUUCAAACUUUAUAACUCUUAUAUCACUUUAAAAAAUUUACCACUAAACUAACACACCCCCAUGUGCGAGAAUGAAAAAAUAAUUAAAUACAUUAUCAUAAAUACACUUGUAAUACAAGAUUUUUAGAAGCCUGUAGAGCAGCGAAUCUUGAAGCUAUGUUAUAUUUUUUACCUUCAUCUUUUCCCAGUCUUGCUGGAAUUCCCAUGAACUCGCACAGGGCGGUUCAUCAGACUCACGUAAGAAGUAUCUAAAUGGAGCUCUAACUCCAAUAUUAUACUUCUUACAAAAUGGAACCCAAAGCUUGGCAAACUUUGAUGCUUCAACGAGAGAGUAAAAGUUGAGAGGUGAGCAGCCAUCAUCAGACACGUAGCAAGCAAGCCUAUGAGCUGGAUAAUCAACUGCCAACAAAGAGAGUACUGUGUUCACUGUGAGGAUUGGAGGCUCUAGAUAAGGAUCUGCAGUUGUCACAAAAAUGUCUAGUGGAGGAAGCUCCUUUAUCCUGUUGGAGUAUUAGCACGUUUUAAAUUAACAAGCCCAAGUCAGCACUGAAUCCAAAUCCUGCAAAUUAUUAAACUAUUGUUAAUUGCGUUACCGUUCUUGGAGCCGUUGUGGAUAAGUGUUGUAAGAUAUAGGAGUCCAUUUGGUGCCAGUGAUGAAAACCCAGACGAAGGUGAAACAAGAUUCGCAUAGAAAAGCAAGAAACCAAGCGAAUCCAUUGUGCUUGAGAGAUAAGAGCCUGUAGAAGAGCAGAGAAAGAAGAAGGAACAAGAUGGUGACGUCUAAAAAUCUUUGUGUUGUGUUUUUGGCAAUAACUU
rnacentral:lncRNA from 1 species